UACGUAGGGUGCGAGCGUUAAUCGGAAUUGCUGGGCGUAAAGCGUGCGCAGGCGGCGCGUUAAGACAGGUGUGAAAGCCCCCGGCUUAACCGGGGAGGGUCGUUGGGGACGGCGGGGCUUGAGGGCGGGAGAGGUCGGUGGAAUUCCCGGUGUAGUGGUGAAAUGCGUAGAGAUCGGGAGGAACACCUGUGGCGAAGGCGGCCGACUGGGCCGACCCUGACGCUGAGGCGCGAAGGCGUGGGGAGCGAACGGG
rnacentral:rRNA from 1 species